GGUAUUGGUUUUCGGACCAAGAGACCGGCGCACGGGUGCGUAACGCGUAUGCAAUCUACCUUUUACAGAGGGAUAGCCCAGAGAAAUUUGGAUUAAUACCUCAUAGCAUAGCAGCUUCGCAUGAAGCCACUAUUAAAGUCACAACGGUAAAAGAUGAGCAUGCGUCCCAUUAGCUAGUUGGUAAGGUAACGGCUUACCAAGGCUACGAUGGGUAGGGGUCCUGAGAGGGAGAUCCCCCACACUGGUACUGAGACACGGACCAGACUCCUACGGGAGGCAGCAGUGAGGAAUAUUGGACAAUGGGCGCAAGCCUGAUCCAGCCAUGCCGCGUGCAGGAUGACGGUCCUAUGGAUUGUAAACUGCUUUUAUACAGGAAGAAACACUCCGACGUGUCGGAGCUUGACGGUACUGUAAGAAUAAGGAUCGGCUAACUCCGUGCCAGCAGCCGCGGUAAUACGGAGGAUCCAAGCGUUAUCCGGAAUCAUUGGGUUUAAAGGGUCCGUAGGCGGUUUAAUAAGUCAGUGGUGAAAGCCCAUCGCUCAACGGUGGAACGGCCAUUGAUACUGUUAGACUUGAAUUAUUAGGAAGUAACUAGAAUAUGUAGUGUAGCGGUGAAAUGCUUAGAGAUUACAUGGAAUACCAAUUGCGAAGGCAGGUUACUACUAAUGGAUUGACGCUGAUGGACGAAAGCGUGGGUAGCGAACAGGAUUAGAUACCCUGGUAGUCCACACCGUAAACGAUGGAUACUAGCUGUUGGAAGCAAUUUCAGUGGCUAAGCGAAAGUGAUAAGUAUCCCACC
rnacentral:rRNA from 1 species